UCAGGCCUAACACAUGCAAGUCGAGCGAUGAAGCACCUUCGGGUGUGGAUUAGCGGCGAACGGGUGAGGAACACGUGAGGAAUCUGCCUUCCACUCUGGGAUAACUCCGGGAAACCGGGGCUAAUACCGGAUACUUUCAACUGGCGGCAUCGCCGGUUGAAGAAAGUUUUUCGGUGGAAGAUGACCUCGCGGCCUAUCAGCUUGUUGGUGAGGUAAUGGCUCACCAAGGCGACGACGGGUAGCCGGCCUGAGAGGGCGACCGGCCACACUGGGACUGAGACACGGUCCAGACUCCUACGGGAGGCAGCAGUGGGGAAUAUUGGGCAAUGGAGGAAACUCUGACCCAGCGACGCCGCGUGAGGGAUGAAAGGCUUCGGGUUGUAAACCUCUUUCAGCAGGGAAUAAGCGAAAGGAA
rnacentral:rRNA from 1 species